rnacentral:rRNA from 1 species
CCUACGGGAGGCAGCAGUGGGGAAUAUUGGGCAAUGGGCGCAAGCCUGACCCAGCAACGCCGCGUGAAGGAAGAAGGCCCUCGGGUUGUAAACUUCUUGUAGUAGGGACGAAACAAAUGACGGUACCGAAGGAAUAAGCCACGGCUAACUACGUGCAAGCAGCCGCGGUAAUACGUAGGUGGCAAGCGUUAGCUGGAUUUACUGGGUGUAAAGGGGGUGUAGGCGGGAGGGGCAGUCAGACGUGAAAAUCCCGGGCUCAACCCGGGAACUGCGUUUGAAACUGUUGUUCUUGAGUGCUGGCGCGGCCGGCGGAAUUCCUUUUGUAGCGGUGCAAUGCUUAGCUCUCCGG